GGGAAUACAGAAGCAGGCAGGGAACUGCAAUUUACCAGAGAAAGGGAUGAAUGAUUGAAAAUACUAGUUAAUGCUUGCAUUAGGGAGGUGAACAGAACAGGGAAGAGAGAAAGAAGAAAGUCUUGUGCAGCGAGUCUGCGAUAGGAGAGGAGGUAUGUAGUUUGCAAGAUCAGAAGAGCAGUUAGCAUGAAAAUAGCGGUAGAUGACAAGAGGUGCAACAUUGUGGCGAUGAGAGAUAAGAAUGGCUGAAGAUAAUAAUUUAGAGAGGAGUUGAUAAGAUGCAAAGCUUUUAAUUCCAACCUGUCUAAAAGAGCGGUAUGAGUGGAACUCUUCCCACACAUGUGAAGCAUACUCCAUAUAUGAACGGAUACGGCCCCUGUACACAAUUUGCAGUUGAGGGGGUGAGAAACUGGAGGAGACGACUCAGGAUGCCUAACUUCAUAGAAGCCGUUUUUGCAAGAGAUGAAAUGUGAAUUUUCCAGUUUAGAUUAUAAGUAAAAGAACAGACCGAACAUGUGCAGCGUAGGAGGCCAGCUGAGUGUCACUGAAGAGGGGAUUAUUAUAUGGAGGGCUGUGUCGAGUUGAACAGAAUGAACCUGAAUUUACCAAGCCAUCGGAUAAAAAACACCUGUCAUUUCAGUAUCAUCGAGAGAGAGAGAGAGAGAGAGAGAGAGAGAGAGAGAGAGAGAGAGAGAGAGAGAGAGAGAAGAAAGUGAAAGAAACAAAUAGGCGAAGAGACAGAGCAAGUAUUUCCAUGGCUGGGGAUUCUAGGGAUUAACAUAAGCGUAUGAAAGACAACGGGCCAGGAAGUCAUCCUAUAGAGAUGAACACAAGGCCUGCCUGAAAUGUCUCCACCUUGUAGGAGAGGCAAAUGUUUCUGAAGUUCUUGAAUAGAGUAUAGUGGUGACAAGGUGCAGAAUGAAUCGAGAAAGCUGCCCAGUCCGACCUUGAGGGAGAAAAUAUUACUUUGCUGGGCCUAUUCCGGAAAGCGCGGCGCGGCAUGAGCGUGGCGGAGGCCGUGGUGUGUGCAUGAUUAACGGCAUGCUGGAGGGCCGCACACACCUGCCGCGCGGUCUAUAUAUGCUUGGGGGUCGUCGAUAAGUUGUGAGUUCCCGAGCCCCACUUGACGGGUUCCUCGGAGGGCAAACAUCUAACAUUUAAGUAAACAGAGGCACAUGGCGCGCUCUGCCUCACCCGCGACCACUGCCGGAUGCUCCAUUUCUACAUGACAAUUCUCGCCUUUACAGACUUUUCACCAAACCCUCAAGUAGAUAAAAGGCAUACAAUACAUAUUCCUAAUUUUUAACAUCAACCAUCUUAUGUUAAGUAGGAAUAUUUGUUGGUGAAUUAAGUUAAGAUAGUGAAAUAUUCUAGUGAUAUGUGGUAAGAAUCUUUCCCGCCCAAGUGGCUCACCGGCCCCCGCCAAAUCAGUCACAAUUCUGCAUUUGAAAAGGGAGGGUGAGUGCGCUAGCCAUGGAGCCAGGUGUAUGACAUGCUGUGGUGGUGUUAGUGCAUGAUAAACAGUGUGUGACCUUAUGUGCUUGGAUAUUGCUGCCCCCUGAACCAUGGCAAGCCGGCAAAACUCCACUGAACUUGGGAUUAAAAGGAAAAAAGAGAGGAAAA